rnacentral:SRP_RNA from 1 species
GCUGAGUUUGGUGAUGCAGGCCUAUAAUCCCUACUACCGAUAGAGGCUGAGGCUGCUGCAUUGUUUGAGUUCAGGGUUUCUGAGAUACGGUAAGGCUAAAGUCAAUUGGGUAUCUGCACUGAGUUCAGUGACAAUAUGAGCCACUGGGGGCAGAGGGCAAUCAGGCUGCCUGAGGAGGGGUGAAACAGGCCCAGGUUGGAAAAAUGGAGCAGAUCAGAGCUUCUAUACUGGCCAGCAUUGGGAUCAGGCCUAUGAGUAACUACUGUAAUUUUACCCUGGGUGAGUUAAGCAGACUUAG